GAAAACUUUAAACUUUAAUCUCUCUUCUCACAGUAUGUUCCAAAUUUGAAGUGUAAAUAUUUAACAAAAUUUAAAAAAAACAAUAUUUUGUAAUGAACCCGUCCGGACAUCGAGUUUCACAGUUUUAUCAUAAAGCAUUAAAUCCGACCACAAUUCCUGUCGUAAUUGGCAAUAAAUUGUACCUGUUGACUGAGCAACUAAGCCGACACAUUGUAGAUACCAAGAUAUCUUUCAUAAUUCCUCACCCUCAGAUGCAUUUUGGUACUGUGAUUCCUGCGAACUCAUUGCCGUUACAUACGCUAUCGAAUGUACAGUUGCCGCCGGAUCAACUAGUAAAUCCGAUGACAGGAAACGUAGAGCAACAAAUCAUUUUGGAACGAAUGCGAGGUCAAUAUUUUGUGGAUACGAUGCUUGCUAGUGCAAAUUAUGCUAAUCAACAGAUCGCUAUCCAGUCUCCGUGGGAGAGUGGUUUAACACAGCCGCGGUUAUUUGUCGAUGCAUCAACAUACACAUUCGACCAGUGGCAAUCGGACGAUGUUGAAAUGAAAACGAUACCUUGAAGCAAUUUGGCGAGUUUUUCCCUAAGAAAAUAUUUUGAAUAAAAAUGUGCACAUAUUGUGCUCUACAUGAA